rnacentral:rRNA from 1 species
UUGGUGGGGUGAUGGCCUACCAAGGCGACGACGGGUAGCCGGCCUGAGAGGGUGUCCGGCCACACUGGGACUGAGAUACGGCCCAGACUCCUACGGGAGGCAGCAGUGGGGAAUAUUGCACAAUGGGCGCAAGCCUGAUGCAGCGACGCCGCGUGGGGGAUGACGGCCUUCGGGUUGUAAACCUCUUUCACCAUCGACGAAGGCCUGGUUUUUGCUGGGUUGACGGUAGGUGGAGAAGAAGCACCGGCCAACUACGUGCCAGCAGCCGCGGUAAUACGUAGGGUGCGAGCGUUGUCCGGAAUUACUGGGCGUAAAGAGCUCGUAGGUGGUUUGUCGCGUUGUUCGUGAAAUGCCACAGCUUAACUGUGGGCGUGCGGGCGAUACGGGCAGACUGGAGUACUGCAGGGGAGACUGGAAUUCCUGGUGUAGCGGUGGAAUGCGCAGAUAU